UACGUAUGGUGCAAGCGUUAUCCGGAUUUACUGGGUGUAAAGGGAGCGUAGGUGGUCUGGCAAGCCAGAAGUGAAAACCCGGGGCUCAACCCCGCGGAUUGCUUUUGGAACUGUUGGACUAGAGUGCAGGAGGGGUAAGUGGAAUUCCCAGUGUAGCGGUGAAAUGCGUAGAUAUUGGGAGGAACACCGGUGGCGAAGGCGGCUUACUGGACUGUAACUGACACUGAGGCUCGAAGGCGUGGGGAGCAAA
rnacentral:rRNA from 1 species